rnacentral:rRNA from 1 species
UACGUAGGGUGCGAGCGUUAAUCGGAAUUACUGGGCGUAAAGAGCUCGUAGGCGGUUUGUCGCGUCUGCUGUGAAAUCUGGGGGCUCAACCCCCAGCCUGCAGUGGGUACGGGCAGACUAGAGUGCGGUAGGGGAGAUUGGAAUUCCUGGUGUAGCGGUGGAAUGCGCAGAUAUCAGGAGGAACACCGAUGGCGAAGGCAGAUCUCUGGGCCGUAACUGACGCUGAGGAGCGAAAGCAUGGGGAGCGAACAGG